rnacentral:rRNA from 1 species
AUUGAACGCUGGCGGCAGGCCUAACACAUGCAAGUCGAACGGUAGCACAGAGAGCUUGUUCUCGGGUGACGAGUGGCGGACGGGUGAGUAAUGUCUGGGAAACUGCCCGAUGGAGGGGGAUAACUACUGGAAACGGUAGCUAAUACCGCAUAACGUCGCAAGACCAAAGUGGGGGACCUUCGGGCCUCACACCAUCGGAUGUGCCCAGAUGGGAUUAGCUAGUAGGUGGGGUAAUGGCUCACCUAGGCGACGAUCCCUAGCUGGUCUGAGAGGAUGACCAGCCACACUGGAACUGAGACACGGUCCAGACUCCUACGGGAGGCAGCAGUGGGGAAUAUUGCACAAUGGGCGCAAGCCUGAUGCAGCCAUGCCGCGUGUAUGAAGAAGGCCUUCGGGUUGUAAAGUACUUUCAGCGGGGAGGAGGGCGGUGGAGUUAACAGCUUCACCGAUUGACGUUACCCGCAGAAGAAGCACCGGCUAACUCCGUGCCAGCAGCCGCCGCGG